rnacentral:rRNA from 1 species
GAAUCCCGUCUUUGACAUGGACUGCCAGUGCUUAAUAGGUGUGCUCUCGAAGAGUCGAGUUGUUUGGGAAUGCAGCUCAAAAUGGGUGGUGAACUCCAUCUAAAGCUAAAUAUUGGCGAGAGACCGAUAGCGAACAAGUACCGUGAGGGAAAGAUGAAAAGCACUUUGGAAAGAGAGUGAAACAGUACGUGAAAUUGUUGAAAGGGAAACGCUUGAAGUCAGUCGCGUCGACCGAGACUCAGCCUUGCCUCGGCUCGGUGUACUUCUCGGCCGACGGGUCAGCAUCAAUUUUGCCCCUCGGAUAAUGGCGAGAGAAAGGUGGCACCCUCACGGGUGUGUUAUAGUCUCCCGUCGGAUGCGAGGGUUGGGAUUGAGGAACUCGGCACGUACCGUGCUUAGGAUGUUGGCAUAAUGGCUUUAAACGACCCGUCUUGAAACACGGACCAAGGAGUCUAACAUGCCCGCGAGUGUUCGGGUGGAAAACCCGUGCGCGCAAUGAAAGUGAAAGUUGGGACCUCUGUCGCGGAGGGCACCGACGCCCGGACCAGAGCUUCUGCGACGGAUCUGCGGUGGAGCGUGUAUGUUAGGACCCGAAAGAUGGUGAACUAUGCCUGAAUAGGGUGAAGCCAGAGGAAACUCUGGUGGAGGCUCGUAGCGAUUCUGACGUGCAAAUCGAUCGUCAAAUUUGGGUAUAGGGGCGAAAGACUAAUCGAACCAUCUAGUAGCUGGUUCCUGCC